rnacentral:rRNA from 1 species
UACGGAGGGGGCUAGCGUUGUUCGGAAUUACUGGGCGCAAAGCGCACGUAGGCGGCUUUGUAAGUUAGAGGUGAAAGCCCGGGGCUUAACCCCGGAAUAGCCUUUAAGACUGCAUCGCUUGAACACGGGAGAGGUGAGUGGAAUUCCGAGUGUAGAGGUGAAAUUCGUAGAUAUUGGGAAGAACACCGGUGGCGAAGGCGGCUCACUGGCUCAUUACUGACGCUCAGGCGCGACAGCGUGGGGAUCAAACAGG